rnacentral:rRNA from 1 species
GAACUGAAGAGUUUGAUCAUGGCUCAGAUUGAACGCUGGCGGCAGGCCUAACACAUGCAAGUCGAGCGGAUGAAGGGAGCUUGCUCCUGGAUUCAGCGGCGGACGGGUGAGUAAUGCCUAGGAAUCUGCCUGGUAGUGGGGGAUAACGUCCGGAAACGGGCGCUAAUACCGCAUACGUCCUGAGGGAGAAAGUGGGGGAUCUUCGGACCUCACGCUAUCAGAUGAGCCUAGGUCGGAUUAGCUAGUUGGUGGGGUAAAGGCCUACCAAGGCGACGAUCCGUAACUGGUCUGAGAGGAUGAUCAGUCACACUGGAACUGAGACACGGUCCAGACUCCUACGGGAGGCAGCAGUGGGGAAUAUUGGACAAUGGGCGAAAGCCUGAUCCAGCCAUGCCGCGUGUGUGAAGAAGGUCUUCGGAUUGUAAAGCACUUUAAGUU